rnacentral:rRNA from 1 species
GAUGAACGCUGGCGGCGUGCCUAAUACAUGCAAGUCGAGCGAACAGAUGAGGAGCUUGCUCCUCUGACGUUAGCGGCGGACGGCUGAGUAACACGUGGAUAACCUACCUAUAAGACUGGGAUAACUUCGGGAAACCGGAGCUAAUACCGGAUAAUAUAUUGAACCGCAUGGCUCAAUAGUGAAAGACGGUUUUGCUGUCACUUAUAGAUGGAUCCGCGCCGCAUUAGCUAGUUGGUAAGGUAACGGCUUACCAAGGCAACGAUGCGUAGCCGACCUGAGAGGGUGAUCGGCCACACUGGAACUGAGACACGGUCCAGACUCCUACGGGAGGCAGCAGUAGGGAAUCUUCCGCAAUGGGCGAAAGCCUGACGGAGCAACGCCGCGUGAGUGAUGAAGGUCUUCGGAUCGUAAAACUCUGUUAUUAGGGAAGAACAAAUGUGUAAGUAACUAUGCACGUCUUGACGGUACCUAAUCAGAAAGCCACGGCUAACUACGUG